ACGGCUUAUGAGGAAUCACACCAACUGUCGAACAGGAGACAGUCAAUUCGACCGAGAAUUUUGUUCUUUUUGUGUAUGAAGUCGUCGGGUGCAAAUCGCGAGUCAACCGCGGACGGAGUUACUUUUGGAAGAGCCGGGGAACGAUCAAGCGCCAACAACGGACAAAGUCCCGCUGAGGCAUUCAAGAGAGAAAACCCAGGAAGGCCCUCCAGAGAGGGCUUUUUCUUUUUUCCUGUUUCUGUUCUGCGGUGUGGUGUUCCGAAUUUCGGCGGCAUCGGAUUCGAACGGACUGUUCGGAUUGGGCCAGCGGAAACAAGCAAGUCGGCACGGGAAGGACUGGAGCGGUUUGAGAAUUUUUAGCUGGGAGCGGUGGCGGACUGGUGUUGCUGAACGGACGCGGCGCACCGCGAAAACCAGAUGGCAGUCAAGUGAGCU